UACGUAGGGGGCAAGCGUUGUCCGGAUUCAUUGGGCGAAAGAGCGUGUAGGCGGCCAGGUAGGUCGGUUGUGAAAACUGGAGGCUCAACCUUCAGAGGUCGACCGAAACCAUCUGGCUAGAGUCUGGGAGAGGAGAGUGGAAUUCCUGGUGUAGCGGUGAAAUGCGCAGAUAUCAGGAAGAACACCCGUGGCGAAAGCGGCUCUCUGGAACGGUACUGACGCUGAGACGCGAAAAGCGUGGGGAGCGAACAGG
rnacentral:rRNA from 1 species